UACGAAGGGGGCUAGCGUUGCUCGGAAGCACUGGGCGUAAAGGGUGCGUAGGCGGGUUUUUAAGUCAGGGGUGAAAUCCUGGAGCUCAACUCCAGAACUGCCUUUGAUACUGAAGAUCUUGAGUCCGGGAGAGGUGAGUGGAACUGCGAGUGUAGAGGUGAAAUUCGUAGAUAUUCGCAAGAACACCAGUGGCGAAGGCGGCUCACUGGCCCGGUACUGACGCUGAGGCACGAAAGCGUGGGGAGCAAACAGG
rnacentral:rRNA from 1 species